AGGUUAGUGCAAAAGUAAUUGCAGUUUUGUCAUCACUUUAACAGCAAAACUACAAUUAAUUUUGCACCAA
rnacentral:miRNA from 1 species